UUUAUACUCCCUUCGUCCAAAAAAACCUGUCCCAACCUUGUCCCUCAAAUAGAUGUAUCUAGCACUAACUUGGUGCUAGAUACACCAUUUGAUAGACAAACUUUUUCGGACGGAGGGAGUAUGAA
rfam:Triticum aestivum genome assembly, contig: Triticum_aestivum_CS42_TGACv1_scaffold_622243_7DS